GCUGGGGUGGCGAAACUGGCAGACGCACCGCGUUUAGGGCGCGGCGCCGCAAGGCAUGAGGGUUCGACCCCCUCCCCCAGCA
rnacentral:tRNA from 1 species